GCAGUUGUCAGAACAAUGCCUUGGCCUCAGAAAAAGAUGGAGACUCAGCUUCCCAGACCGGAGCUUGAACAUAAGGACUUAAUCCCAUGGUAUCAGUCCUCUCCUUUGGAGACAGCCAGGGCCAGAGUGAACUGAACGGCAAAACGGAGAAAGCUAAACCCAGAAAUCCCUAAAUAUCCUCUCGCCCGGAACAUGCUUGGGCCCAGAGCCUGCAGGUGCAGUAGAAGGAGAUUCGCUUUCCGGCUUUUGUCGGGGCACCACGGUUUCAACAAAGACAGCCUCUACCCAGGGGCCGACACUCACACAGCCUUCUCUUCCUGCAUAGCCAUUUGCAAGUCCAGUUUCCCACUAUGAUACACAGCUCUUGAGAUGAAGAAACGUGGCACACACAUGUCUGCUGACCUUCUCUGAGAUCGAGGAGGUGCUAGGAUUUGUUGGCUUGAA
rnacentral:lncRNA from 1 species